ensembl:lncRNA
AUGGCAGAGUUUAAGCACAUUCAGGACUCCAGCAGCAGCUCACAGAACAACUUUUACUGUGUACUAAAUGAGGACAUUAACAAGAAACCAUCACACACAUGGAAAGUGCAGCACCAAUACAGUAAACUGACCGAGGUAGAGAAUGAAGUGGCCAAUCUGACUUCUUCUUUAGCUUUGCUUUCUUCAAACCAACAAGACACAUGUGAGAUUUUACAUUAAAGGGAUACUCCACCCCAAAAUGAAAAUUUUGUCAUUAAUCACUUACCCCCAUGUCGUUCCAAACCAUAAAAGCUUUGUUCGUCUUCAGAACACAAUUAAAGAUAUUUUGGAUUAAAACCUGGAGGCUUGAGACUGUCCCAUAGACUGCCAAGUAAAAUACAUUGUCAAGGUCUAGGAAAGUAAGAAAAGCAUCGUCAGAAUAGUCCAUCUGCCGUCAGUGGUUCAAUUGUAACGUUAUGAAGCGAC